AAUUAAAACGUAAAAAAAUAUUGCCAAAAGAGAAAUGCAAAAACUAAGGUGAACUGGCAUUCAAUCACUAGGUGGCGUAUCGCGAUAGAAUGCUUCUCUCUCAUUGGUUAGAUUUUUAGUAGAAGAAAGAGGGACAAAAUGGCGAAGAAAACACCAAGAACUUGCUCAAGAAAAUCAACAGAGAUGAGAAGAUCUUUUGACUCUACACAGAAGAAAGGCACCACAAACGACAGAUUAGAUACAGAUAUCCAUGGAACAAAUCAUCUGAAAAAAAAGAGAAGAUGAAGAAUACUUCUGUUAAAAAGUUGAUGUAACUGAUGAGCAGAUCAAUCCAACUUGAACAUGAUAUCAUUUCUCCAAUGAUGAAAACAAGUCUCUCUAUACUCAAGCAUUGAUAUUUUUAAAGUCGACUGAAACUGAAACAGGUCAUACAUGCAGACUACAUUGAUGUGUUGCACAGUUCCGAAAACAUGCAGCCACCACUAGCAUAAGCAUGAUAAGUGUAAGUGGGUCAUCAAAAAAUGAGAACCACUCAUUAAGGACUUUUCUGUUGGUUGAUGAUGGACUACAAACUGACUUUUUAACAAAGGAAUCCACCUUGGUGCUUAUUGGCUACUUAUGAUGUGAACUUGUGCAUUUAUUAUACCAAGUAAUUUUACAUUUCCUUGAUAAUACUAGACUUGCAUAAACCGAAUUUAGAUUUAGUUGAUUUAUUGCAGUAAUGCAGUUCAAAGUUCCUCUCGCAAGAUUAUAUCUCUGAUGUAUGAGACAUCAUUAAUUGCAGUCAUUUUCUCUGUCCUCCUGUCGUGACUUGAGGGCUUGGACUUAGCUGUAAAAAUGUUUAUGAUGCAAGAGAAAAUAAAUGUUCUACCCGAUGUAUGUAAAUGUUGAUAAUAACAUUAAAUAUUCUUUGAUAACUAGUGUUAGUGUGUUGUUGUUUUUUCCAAUAUGAGAAUUCAGGGGGAAAAUGACUUUUGGUUGAAAACCAGGGCUAAAUUGUGUAGUCAAUACUACAGUUUCUGUUGCGGAAACCUAUAGUAUACCCUAUGUAUAUCAAUAUUGUAAACGCAUACUGAAACCUUGCGUAUACCUCAAGUUUCAGCAAGUUUCUGUUGCGGAAACUAUUGGUAAACCAUAUGUAUUUCAACCGUAUACGCAUACUGAAACCUUGCGUAUACCUCAAGUUUCAGUUGCGGAAACCUAUGGUACACCAUAUGUAUUUCAACAGUAUACGCAUGCUGAAACCUUGCGUAUACCUCAAGUUUCAGCAAGUUUCAGUUGCGGAAACUAUUUGGAUUCGUGGACACCUUUGGUUUCCGCACUGCGGAAACUUGAUGAAACUUGAAGUUUCCGCACUGAAACUUUGCAGAAACUAUUAAUAAC